CGCCAUCUUUAUUUUGCCUCGCUGCUCCCUACACACCAUUUCAGAGAGUUUUAGACUGACACGCAGAUUGCCCUAGAAGUUGUACCACAGUGACUGAUCUCUCCUACAAUGAUUAGUAGUAAAGAAAAUACCCCCACAGCAAUGGUCACAGGCUAUCUGAUGCAGGUAUUUCAUCAUCCGAGCUUUCCUCUUCCUAAGUGUGUCACGUUGACAGCGGAGAUUAGCCACCAUAAAUAUUACAAAAAUAAUAAUUCACGAGCAAUUGGAAAAUACGCAAGAUGUAGUCAUUUUCAUUUCCAUUGAUCAGCAUUCCAGGAAAAGAAAAAUUAUUUUGUUUAUAAAGCCCUCCAAGUUUUUCCCCAACAUUGUGGCCUUUCCCCUCCAAGAGGAAGAAGGAAGAGGAGGAAGUUGAGGAAGAGGAGGAGGAAGAGGAGAAGGAGGGGGGAAGAAGAGGAAAAGGAAGAGGAAGAAGAAGAGGAAGAGGAAGAGAAGAGGCUCUUCCAGUCUGAAAUUUUGCCCUGAGCUGAACUUGGGCACUGGCUCCACACCCAGUUCCACAACACCCAGUGUAAACCAGACUCCCAGGUGUUCCAACAUGCUCAGAAUCACAGGUGAGGAGGCCACAACAACUGUCCCAAAACCCAGUUUAACUGGGACCCCCACAGGAACCAGUGAAAGCUAAACCCUGACAACCAAAGACAUGGGUUCCGUCCAGCUUGCACCUGUGCCUGGAGCAAACCCAGGGCUCUGGUCACCACCCACUCUUGCAACAACCUGAGAAAGCUUGACUUCCUGAGAGAGCUCUGACCCAGUAGGAUCUCAGGAGCUUGGUGACACAAGGAUUUUAGGAUCCCAUAGGCAACUUGACUCCCAGGAGCUCUGACACACCCAGGAUCUCAGAAUCACAGGAUCCCAGAAUCACAGGAUCACAGAGCCAGCUGGACUCAGGAGUUCUGAUAUAAUCACAAGAGGGACAGUCUCCAGUCAGAGACAGCAAGGGCAUGUAGCAUUAGUGAUAAGUAGAUGGCAAGAGGCAAGAACAAGAAGAUAGGCAACAGAAACUAAGGCUCCUGGUAUCAUCGGAAUUCGGUUCUCCCACUACAGCAAGACUUGGAUACCCCCAUCACGCUGGAAAAACAAGAUUUGGAUUUAAAAUCACAUCUUAUGAUGAUGGUAGAGGACUUUAAGAAGGACAUAAAUAACUCGCUUAAAGAAAUACAGGAGAACACAGGUAAACAGGUAGAAGCUCCAAAGAAUUACAGGAAAACACAACCAAACAGGUGAAGGAAUUAAACAAAACCAUCCAGGAUCUAAAAGUGGAAAUAGAAGCAAUAAAGAAAUAACAAAGGGAGAGAACCCUAGAGAUAGAAAACCUAGGAAAGAGAUCAAGCAUCAUAGACACAAGCAUUGCCAACAGAAUAUAAGAGAUAGAAGACAGAAUCUCAGGAGCAGAAGAUUCCAUAGAAAUUAUCGACACAACAGUCAAAGACAACCCAAAAUGCAAGAAGCUCCUAAUCCAAAACAUCCAGAAAAUCUAGGACACAAAGAGAAGAUUAAGCCUAACAAUAAUAGGUAUAGAAGAGAACAAAGAUUCCCAAAUUAAAGGGCAGUAAAUAUCUUCAACAAAAUUAUAGGAAAAACCUUCCCUAACCUAAAGGAAGAGAUGCCCAUGAAUAUAAAAGAAGCCUACAGAACUCCAAAUAGACUUGACCAGAAAAGAAAUUCCUCCUGUCAAAUAAUAGUCAAAACACUAAAUGUACAAAACUAAGAAUAUUAAAAGCAGUAAGGGAAAAAUGUCAAGUAACAUAUAAAGGCAGACCAAUCAGAAUUAUACCAGGCUUCUCAUCAAAGACUAUGAAAGACAGAAGAUCCUGGGCAGACGUCAUACAGACCCUAAGAGAACACAAAUUCUAGCCCAGGCUACUAUGUCCAACAAAACUCUCAAUUAACAUAUAUGGAGAAGCCAAAAUAUUCCAUGAGAAAACCCAAUUUACACAAUAUCUUUCCACAAAUCCAUCCCUACAAAGAAUAAUAGAUGGAAAACUCUAACACAAGGAGGGAAACUGCCCUAGAAGAAGCAAGAAAGUGAUCCUCUUGCAACAAACCCAAAAGAAGAUGGCAACACAGACAUAAUUCCAUCUCUGAUGACAAAAAUAACAUGAAGCAACAGUCACAAUUCUUUAAUAUCUAUUAAGACCAAUGGACUCGAUUCCCUAAUAAAAAAACACAUCCUGACUGGAUACGUAAACAGGACCCAACAUUUUGCUGCAUAUAGGAAAUGCACCUCAGUGACAAAGACAAACACUACCUCAGAUGAAGAGGAGGAGGAAGAGGAGAAAGUGGAGGAGGAAAAAAAGUACAAUUUGUGUUAUUCAUAUAUUCAGUGGAGCAUGGUCAAUCCUCCUAUGUUCAGCCACUUAAAGAAAACUGAGUCUACUAGAAUCCAUUAAUUGUCAAGAACUACAUUUCAGCAUCCUUAUAUUAAUUUUUAAGAGUUCUUUUUGGUGGCUUUCUGUUUGUUACCUUUUUUGGUGUGGUGUGGGUAGGGUUGUACAGUAACUUUCUAUGCUUCUCUUUUGUAACCGAGUCUGCAAUCAUUAUUACCAUGCCAACAGCAGCUUCUUUGUCACUUAUAGUCUGUCUGAGGCCCUGUUGAUGUCUGUGUACAUGCUGCUGGCCAGUACCAUGUCUGCCUGCAUAGACCUACCAUCAGGGUCCAUGUUCAUGUUUGUAGCCAAUGUUACCAUCAAAUACCAUGUCUUUGGUCUGUACUGCAGGCUGAAGCCAUGUUGAUGUUUGAGGGUUGUUGUGCUACAGAGGGUUUGAUGGUGCUUAUGGACUGUGCAGUAAGAAGCAGAGUACUGGGUCAAUGUCUUUGGUUUGUACUGCUUCCAAAGGCAAUACUGAGGUCUAUAGCAAGUGCUGAUGCCAGAGACCACGAGGAUGUCUAUGGUUUGGUGGUCACCAUAAACCAUAUGCAAGUCCACACAAUCCAACACCGAUUUUUUUUCUUUUUCUUUUUUUUUUUUUCGGAGCUGGGGACCGAACCCAGGGCCUUGCGCUUGCUAGGCAAGUGCUCUACCACUGAGCUAAAUCCCCAACCCCUCCAACACCGAUUUUUAAUGUGUUACCAUUGCAAUGUGAUAGAAUCUAUGAAAACUGAACUCAUGAGAGAUUGUUUCAUCAUUCGAUUAUGUAUUAGAAUGGGACUAGAAGAGUCUAGUCAUUCAGACUUUUUCCUGUUUCCUUGAUUGUUUUAUAGUUUGCUGUGCUAUAGGCUCUCCACAUAAUGUUGUUUUCUUCAGCAGUCCAUACACUGAAACCUAUAGAACUCUAAGAUAACUAAACCUUUCUCCUCAUAAGUUCAUUGAAUCCAGUAUUUUGUUAUGAUAAUAUAAAUUUGAAUACUUUUCUAAAAGAGAAAAGAUAUAGUAAAAUGUAUGUGAUCUGCAACUAUACAUACUAAAAUAAAAAUAUAUUUCUCUUUUUUUGUUUUUAAGGAAAGGAUUAGAAAGGAAUUAAAUUAAAUUAUUGGUUUAUCAACAAUACCAACCAGCCAGAGUUCCCAGGAACUAAACGACCAUUCAUAGAGUACACAUGGACAGACUCAUGCCUCCAGCUGCAUAUGUGGCAGAGGAUGGCCUUGUUGGGCACCAAUGAAAGGAGAAGCCCUUGGUCCUGACAAGGCUUGACCCCUCCAGUGUAAGGGAAAGUCAGGGCAGGGAAACUGGAAGGAGUGGGUGAGGGAACACCCUCAUAGAAGAAGGGGGAAUGGGUUGGGAUAGGGGAUUUACGAACAGGAAACCGGGAAAGGGGAUAACAUUUGAAAUGUAAAUUAAAAAUAUUCAAUAAAAAUGCUGAAAAAUUAUUGGUUUGUUAUUUCCUCUCAAUGUGAAGUCAGUGUUGGGAAAUUUUCUUACCUACACGUAUUUCAUGCUAAGGGAUUAUACAAUUUAAAGGAGGGAAUGACUAGCACAAACUGGACAUUGCAUUGAAAGCUGACAUGUUAGUUAUAAGCAAAUGGGAGAAUGAUUUUAAUACCUAGGGUGUAGCCUUUUCCUUUCUUGUUCCUUCUCUAUCUGGGUGACAGCAAUUUAUUAAAUAUCAAUGCAUAAUGAUACACAAACAUAGCUAAUAUUUUGUUGUCAAGAAGCCCAAUUGAAAAAUAUAUAAGUUUAAUAAAGCAAAUUGUUGCACUUAAAAUAAUACUAAUGGCUAUUAUUAACUGCUAACUCUGAACUGCCAGUUUUACAUUCAAGCAUAAAUAACUGUCAAUAGAGUUUGUAUAAAUAAAUAUUCAGAGGCUUGUGUUUAACAUAGAGACACCUGAUAGCACAGUUUAAACCUUGUACCCACAGUAGCAAAUCUCAGUUCUUUUAUUACUAUGGAUAUAGUUUCAUGUAGGAUAGCUUUCUCAAACCUCAAUUUUAUAAACAUUUAAAUGUUCAAAACAGAGUUCUAAAUAUUUCUAGAACUAAGUAUUUAAAAGAUGUUAUGCUUCAUGCUUAUAAGAUCUCUUUGUUUCAAUGUUUGUGUGUGUGUGUGUAUAUGAAAACUAAAAACUAUUAGUUAAACUGCUUUUUAACUGAGAGUAGUAAUAAGACAGCUAAAGUACAUAGAAUGAGAUAUAUGAAUUCUUUAGCCCCUACUGUGUGCUGGCUUCAAAGAAGAGUGUCCUCAUAUACUAAUGCAUUUUCUUGUCUAAAUCACAUGGAUACCACAUCAAACAAAUGGCUAUUUUAUCUUCUCCAUCAGUAUCUUACCAAAUGGAAAGCUCACGAACAAAGAGGAAAAGAAAGUUGUAUAGAGUCAUAUAAACAGGAGCUCUUUGCAGAUCCACGGUUUCCAUAUGGGUAGUAUAAAAUCUUAACCACUUGACCCAAAUGCCUUUUUAAAUGGCAUUUCCUGUAAUAAAGUUAACUUGAUUAAAGAGAAUUUAAUAGCACAUUUCCACCUACAGCAAUAGUACAUUAAACUUCAAAGAAAGGCAUGUUUACUAAAUCACCUAAUUCCAAGAUGUAGUUGGGUAUAUCAGUCACUACUACUUAGUUUGACAGAAGGUCAUCUGCCAUUUGUGAGCAAUAAUGGUUUAUUAAUUAAUAUUGAGAUAGUGGUGUAUGUGUGUGUGUGUGCAUGUGUGUGUGUGUGUGUGUGUGUGUGUGUGUGUGUGUGAUAUCUGAGCCUGUGUGUGUGUCAUGUAUAAUGCUUAUAUAAGAUAAAUUAAAAGUUUGAUAUUGGAUGCUAAAGUCAUGAACUAUGAAGUUAUUUACAUUUAUUUGCAGUAUUAAGAUACACAAUUAUAAGAACACAAAAUAUAAUAUGAACAAAGAAAUGUGGCCUUUCAAUGACAGUGUCAUAACUCAGCCGUGCUUUAUCAGUUUAAAACAAUUUGUUAUAAUUUACAGGUCUCCCAAUACAGUGCCAUCCAGUUGCCAUGUUCAUAAAAUAAAAUAAAAACAAAAAAAGCAUUUGUCUCUGUAACCAGUAAUUACUGAUGCCCAAGGUCUUUUCACUGUAUGAAUGACUCUUAUUGUCCCUUGGUAAGGUUAAUGGUUAAUGUAGACAAAUAAUGCCCAAAGAAUCAUCUCAACGGAUAAUGAGUUCUUAGAGAUACAUGUGACCAUUUAUAGAAGAAUACACAUUUUGUUCAAAGAUGCUAUUAAGCACAUGGGCUGAAGCACUAGGAUGUCAAUAGGUUCCUUUGUUACAAUUUCUAAUGAUAGGGCCCAUCACCUGGGUCUCUGACCUAGGAAGCUCAAUGUGUCAUGAAUUGUUUAUUGAGGUUUACAUGUAAAAGCAGCUAAUAAUAUGCACCUUGGUAUCUGUGAAAGAAAGAGGUAAAAGCGGAAUUAUUAAUCUGAGAGAACUGGCAAGAAUAUGUAAUUCCUGAUUUGAUCUACAGGAUCCUAUCUAGUAAUGCAUAUCCAAGUUAACCAGUCAACGAGAAAUGAGGGUACAACCUUGCAUAAUACACCACCACCUGCAUUACAUCUGUUUCUCAAUCUUGAUUUCUCACAGACUUGAGUCAUAUAAGAGAUAACAAGGGUUAAGGAAAAUACUUUGAGCAUUCAAUAUAAAAUAUAGAUGUAUAGUACAAAACUUUCGUACUAGAGUAUAAUAGCUUAGAAUUGGAGUAGUUCAUAUGUAGUACCCUUACUAAUCUCAGAGAGUACCCUUUUCAGUCCCAGAAUCAUAACUCUGACCAGCUUCAAUUAAAACCUGAAGUUGACCACAGCUUUGUUGCAAAGCUAAUCAGUCCUUGAUCACUGACAUAUAAACAACAGCACAUUGCAUAUACAAUGCCUAGUGCAACUUGGUAUGAGAACAUAUACUUCUGUUAGUAUUAUCAUUGCAAAGUAAAUAGAUAUUCCUUUGUUAGAAUGAAAAAAAUACAAGGCAAGUAGUUGAAAGUUUAUAAUGAACACAAAGAGAAGUAUCAUGUUAAUUUCAUAUGAAUUACCAAAAUGUAUAUCUCAGCUCAAAACUCAAUGUGCUAUCAAGUCUUAGAACUGUCCUUUAAAGUAGUUGAGGUCCUUAAAAAGGCUGUUGUUUUUCAAGGCUCUGUAUUCUAGAAUUCCUGUUUCAAAGACCACCAAAUGUAUGUCUUUUCUCUUCCCAAAUACAGAUGAAGGAAAAUAAAGACGGGUACCUGGAAAACAGGUCUUCAGACAUUUUACAUAAUGUAUGUCACAUGGUUGACCAAGCACAGAUGUAAGGUGAUAGCCACACCAUGUUUCAGCACAGGGACAUGUUUGAAAGGUUUAUCGAGUAAUGUGAUCCAAACUCCACACUCUAGACCUAUGAAGCAUAACCUCUUGAUUUGUCCCACUGGUAUCACAACAGAAAAUGCAUGCAUAUAAGGAUAUGAGGCCUGUGAUUUAUUAAUGAUGCAGAACCUAGAAUUAUUAGUAAUGAAGAAAAAAUUCAUAUGAUGGACCAUAAAGAAGUCUAGUUAAUUUAAGCAAAGUGAGAAAAAUCACCAGCAUUGGAAUGACCAUUAAUAAACCCAUAAAUGAUCCUUGGUUCUCUGCACUAUGAAAGUUAAACUAAUUUACAUUUGCUCUAGAAAUGUUUUAUUCUCUGAGCACACUUAAUGAAUGAUGGGUUAGAAGCAUAACUAAAGCAGAUGCUAGUGAUUGCUGCCCAUACAGUCCUUGGAUGACACAGUUUCUUGCCGUAAGUGGAAGAUCUGUUGUUCUUCUGUAGGGAAAGGCAUAUUCCUCUCACUGGGAGCUAUCUUGACUUUGGAGGAACUCUGUGUCUCAAGAUGAUGCACUCACAAGGUACUGACCCAUGUCCAAUGUCUGGUACACACGAUCCUGUUUGUUUACUGCAGUUUGGUAUGGUUCCUCAUAAACCCUUGAAUGGCUUUCCUAUGACUGCUGCUGCAUCCAUCGUGGUUGUCAUUGAUUAUCUUUGACCGCGUUGCUGUUCUGAAGUUGAAUCCUGGGUUACCUGUAGCUAAGGAGGUUUCCUAAAGGUGCCUCUCACUGAGUGUUUAUAAAGAUCAUUAGCAAAAUACAAGGAUUCCUCACCUUGCAACUAUUGUACCAAAUUAUUUCUCUAUAGAUUUUAUGUUUUAUAACAGA